GCUCCAGUGGUGCAAUUGGUUAGCACGCAGUACUUAUACGGCAGUGCUGAAAGGAGACAUGCUGAGGUUGUGAGUUCAAACCUCACCUGGAGCA
rnacentral:tRNA from 1 species